ACAACCAGAGCCGGCACACGAACCAGCUGAACCUGAUUCACCCGUGAGACGCUCCCAACGGGAGAACCGAGGCCGCCCCCCUGCCCGCUACGGUGAGUGGACAACCCCGAGGCAUUCUAGGGACUAGAAUGCAUUGGCGGGGGAGGAUGUCACAAGGUGACGAUCUUUUGGGCGGAACCGAAAGUCGGGAAACUUUGGUUCCGCCCGGAUGUUUCCGCCCAGACCGGGAAGAGGAAACACCGGACAUCCGGUAGCAUCGCAAGGGCUGUAAUCAGCGAAAUGGAGCGCAGCUGUGGGCGUUUAAGGAAAUCGCCGGUUGAUUGGAGGAUUACAGCAUACAGAGGAGUAUUUUAGGACAGUGUAAACCACAGUUUGUGGUGUUAGUGUUGAGUUGAAGUACGGAGCUGUGCUCGUCCGUUACGUUUGGCAGUUGGUUGCACUUUUCCUCUUCCCCUCUCAUAGUUCUCAGUGGAUGUUACCGUAAGCAGAAACCCUGUGGGUAGAAGAAGAUAACGGUAAAUGUGACACGUUUGGAGUAACCAAGGAUUAAGGAAACGAAGCUGGUUGUAAACUGUUUACCAAGGAGAUCGCUGUGAGUAUCGGCUCUAGAUUUGAUCUGAAACCAUAGCUGCCAACUUGUGUGUUAUUGAACGCUCUAAGAAGAGGAAGAGCGGCCCUACCCCCGAUCGAGCGUGGUGGGCGAGCCGCAGGAAUAAGUGGAUUACAUCGCCAUAGCAGCAGACCUAAAAGCUCCGGCCGUAGUGUCAUCGCCCCCAUCGGCCCUUAGCGAAGUGGAAGACGCUGGGCGUCGCGUGUGUGCACCUGUAGAGUGGUGGAGUGAAGGGCGAAGGAGUUCCGCCGCCCCGUGGUCUCUACAAAGGGGCGCCCCUGUCUGGUAUUCGAUCGGCCUACGGGCAUUGAGGACAGGGCAGCGCUCGGCCCGGUGAGACGGUGUGACGAUUCGCCCCCCUGCUGACCAACGGACUCGCCGAGAGGGUUUUUGCCCCCGGCGCUCCUUUAGGAAGAUCGUCGCCGUUUGCCUUCUGUGCAGGCCAGUUGUCGUAAGCCGCCCUGAGUAUUGUCGACCGAAACACCGUAUAGCGAGCUGAGGAAAAGCUGCGCUACCCAGAGUUGUAAACAGCAGAGAGGUGAGAAGUACCCAAGUUGCACUAACUGUGUUAUUGUAUCCAAGCUGCCUGUAAAGGAAGAGAGAACAAGAGUGAACGUCAGUAGAACGAACUGUGGACAGUCACACACGCCUGAGCUGUAAACAGCAGAGAGGUGAGAAGUACCCAAAUUGUACUAACUGUGUUAUUGUAUCCAAGCUGCCUGUAAAGGAAGAGAGAACAAGAGUGAACGUCAGUAGAACGAACUGUGGACAGUCACACACGCCUGAGCUGUAAACAGCAGAGAGGUGAGAAGUACCCAAGUUGCACUAACUGUGUUAUUGUAUCCAAGCGGCCUGUAAAGGAAGAGAGAACAAGAGUGAACGUCAGUAGAACGAACUGUGGACAGUCACACACGCCUGAGCUGUAAACAGCAGAGAGGUGAGAAGUACCCAAGUUGCACUAACUGUGUUAUUGUAUCCAAGCUGCCUGUAAAGGAAGAGAGAACAAGAGUGAACGUCAGUAGAACGAACUGUGGACAGUCACACACGCCUGAGCUGUAAACAGCAGAGAGGUGAGAAGUACCCAAGUUGCACUAACUGUGUUAUUGUAUCCAAGCUGCCUGUAAAGGAAGAGAGACCAAGAGUGAACGUCAGUAGAACGAACUGUGGGCAGACGCACAUGUCUGAGCUGUAAACUGCAGAGAGGUGAGGAGUAAUUAAGCUGCACUAACUGUGUCCUUGUGUCCAAGUGGCCUGUGAGGAGAGAGACAAGGCGAGAGCGAAGGUCAGGAGAGUGACCUGUGUAAGGAGGACCAUACUUACCACGAGUAACCAGCCAGCCAAUAGGCGAAGGCGAUCCUAGCCCAGGUUGAACGAGUCUUCGCGUCCCAGUCAAACCCUGUGGAGAGAAACACCCAGUGGAGUGAGCAGAGGAGUAUCGGCCCGACGUGGCGCAGGUAUCAUAGUAGAGAGAGAGAUACAACCCCAAAUUCAUACUGCUUGUCUUUUGCCUCCAGGAGAGAAGAGGAGGGCGCCACGGAUAGUGGGAUUGGCAGGAGCCUGUGUUCCCCUGUCCCCUUCCCCCCCCCCCCUACACUUGGGUCACCAGCCCCUGGAGCCCCCGUCGCUCUUCCCCUUUCUGCCACUCUCCCGUGUUGUGGCCUGUCUGGAAGGCAGAGAGGAGUUAGUUUUAAUUGCCCCUUUCCCCAUUUCCCCCAGUUAUUUUAAAUAUUUAAAUAAAGUUUUGUUUUAAUACUUA